GACGAACGCUGGCGGCGUGCCUAAUACAUGCAAGUCGAACGCAGUGGGGACGGGUGAGUAACACGUGGGUAACCUCCCAUCAGAGGGGAUAACACUUGGAAACAGGUGCUAAACCGAUACUGAUGGAUGGACCCGCGGUGCAUUAGCUAGUUGGUGAGGUAACGGCGCACCAAGGCCACGAUGCAUAGCCGACCUGAGAGGGUGAUCGGCCAAACUGGGACUGAGACACGGCCGAGACUCCUACGGGAGGAAGCAGUAGGGAAUCGUAGGCAAUGGACGAAAGUCUGAACGAGCAACGCGGCGUGAAGGAAGACGGUCUUCGGAUUGUAAACUUCUUUAGACAGGCGGUACCUGUAGAAGAAGCCACGGCUAACUACGUGCCAGCAGCCGCGGUAAUUC
rnacentral:rRNA from 1 species